CCAGCAGCAACUUCCCUCCCAUUCACGAGUUUGUUUUCCCUCCUUCUUCGAAGCUCUGGCGAAGGACGAUUGGCGAAGUCCAUGGCGAACAUCGAGAAUGAUCGGCGCAGAAUCGAAGUCGGCAGCGAACAUCGACGGUGAACCAAGCUCCGGCGACUCCGCGAACCAGAGCUGCACUUCGUCAUCAAACUGAAGGGUUUGGAUGGCCAUGAAGAGAUGGAAGGCACUUCAAAUUCCAUGUAUAGGAGAUGCCUCUGAUGUGCAACAGCAACACACCAUUUGUUAUGCAUCUAUUAUGUUUUUGUAGUGAAGCUUUGUAGUGACUUCAAAUUUCAUGUUGAAUUUUUGUAGUGACUAUUAUGAAUGAAUUUUAAUUGGGAUGAGAUUUGCAUGAA